AUGAGCCCCUGCCUCCUGGGCUGUGUGGUCUUCUGUCUCCUGCAGGCAGGGGUGGUCCAUGCUGGUGUCACUCAAGACCCCAGAUUCCAGGUCAUGAGGACAGGACAGAACGUGACACUGAAAUGUACUCAGGAUCUGGGUCAUGACCCCAUGUACUGGUACCGACAAGACCCGGGACCCGGGCUGAGGCUGAUCCAUUACUCAGCCGGGCCUCCCACCAUGGUUCAAGGAGACGUGCCCGACGGGUACAGUGUCUCCAGGUCAAGCAAAGAGAACUUUCCUCUCAUGCUGGAGUCUGCCAACCUCUCCCAGACAUCUGUGUAUUUCUGCGCCAGCAGUUACUCCACGGCGCUACAUGGCCACCUGCUCUCUGUGCAAAAAGACACAUACUUAGGAAUGAAGAAUGAUCUCUGGAAUACAACACACUUAAAGUUGUAA